rnacentral:rRNA from 1 species
GACGAACGCUGGCGGCGUGCUUAACACAUGCAAGUCGAACGGAAAGGCCCCAGCUUGCUGGGGUACUCGAGUGGCGAACGGGUGAGUAACACGUGGGUGAUCUGCCCUGCACUCUGGGAUAAGCCUGGGAAACUGGGUCUAAUACCGGAUAGGACCGUGCUUUAGUGUGUGCGGUGGAAAGUUUUUCGGUGCAGGAUGAGCCCGCGGCCUAUCAGCUUGUUGGUGGGGUAAUGGCCUACCAAGGCGGCGACGGGUAGCCGGCCUGAGAGGGUGUACGGCCACAUUGGGACUGAGACACGGCCCAGACUACUACGGGAGGCAGCAGUGGGGAAUAUUGCACAAUGGGCGCAAGCCUGAUGCAGCGACGCCGCGUGGGGGAUGACGGCCUUCGGGUUGUAAACCCCUUUCGGCAGGGACGAAGCUUUUGUGACGGUACCUGCAUAAGAAGCACCGGCUAACUACGUG